rnacentral:rRNA from 1 species
GCAAACGACCAUUCCACGUUGAAGACACCAGUUCUCGUCCGAUCACUGAAGUUAAGCAACGUCGGGCGUAGUUAGUACUUGGAUGGGUGACAGUUUGGAUAAUACAAACAAACAUUACA